UCAAAGAUAUAAGUACAGUACUUUCUGGGG
rnacentral:piRNA from 1 species